UUCGCCCUUAGAGUUUGAUCCUGGCUCAGGACGAACGCUGGCGGCGCGCCUAACACAUGCAAGUCGAACGAGCGAGAGAGAGCUUGCUUUCUCGAGCGAGUGGCGAACGGGUGAGUAACGCGUGAGGAACCUGCCUCAAAGAGGGGGACAACAGUUGGAAACGACUGCUAAUACCGCAUAAGCCCACGGGUCGGCAUCGACCAGAGGGAAAAGGAGCAAUCCGCUUUGAGAUGGCCUCGCGUCCGAUUAGCUAGUUGGUGAGGUAACGGCCCACCAAGGCAACGAUCGGUAGCCGGACUGAGAGGUUGAACGGCCACAUUGGGACUGAGACACGGCCCAGACUCCUACGGGAGGCAGCAGUGGGGAAUAUUGCACAAUGGGGGAAACCCUGAUGCAGCGACGCCGCGUGGAGGAAGAAGGUCUUCGGAUUGUAAACUCCUGUUGUUGAGGAAGAUAAUGACGGUACUCAACAAGGAAGUGACGGCUAACUACGUGCCAGCAGCCGCGGUAAAACGUAGGUCACAAGCGUUGUCCGGAAUUACUGGGUGUAAAGGGAGCGCAGGCGGGAAGACAAGUUGGAAGUGAAAUCCAUGGGCUCAACCCAUGAACUGCUUUCAAAACUGUUUUUCUUGAGUAGUGCAGAGGUAGGCGGAAUUCCCGGUGUAGCGGUGGAAUGCGUAGAUAUCGGGAGGAACACCAGUGGCGAAGGCGGCCUACUGGGCACCAACUGACGCUGAGGCUCGAAAGUGUGGGUAGCAAACAGGAUUAGAUACCCUGGUAGUCCACACCGUAAACGAUGAUUACUAGGUGUUGGAGGAUUGACCCCUUCAGUGCCGCAGUUAACACAAUAAGUAAUCCACCUGGGGAGUACGACCGCAAGGUUGAAACUCAAAGGAAUUGACGGGGGCCCGCACAAGCAGUGGAGUAUGUGGUUUAAUUCGACGCAACGCGAAGAACCUUACCAAGUCUUGACAUCCUGCGACGGUGCUGGAAACAGUGCUUUCCUUCGGGACGCAGAGACAGGUGGUGCAUGGUUGUCGUCAGCUCGUGUCGUGAGAUGUUGGGUUAAGUCCCGCAACGAGCGCAACCCUUAUGGUCAGUUACUACGCAAGAGGACUCUGGCCAGACUGCCGUUGACAAAACGGAGGAAGGUGGGGAUGACGUCAAAUCAUCAUGCCCUUUAUGACUUGGGCUACACACGUACUACAAUGGCGUUAAACAAAGAGAAGCAAGACCGCGAGGUGGAGCAAAACUCAGAAACAACGUCCCAGUUCGGACUGCAGGCUGCAACUCGCCUGCACGAAGUCGGAAUUGCUAGUAAUCGUGGAUCAGCAUGCCACGGUGAAUACGUUCCCGGGCCUUGUACACACCGCCCGUCA
rnacentral:rRNA from 1 species